UGACAGAAAAAAAAAAUUGUGAACAGAAAACAUGGAAAAAAGACAUUGUCUGCGUGGCCCCACGAUGUAUUUUUUUUUUUUUUUUGGUU
rnacentral:ribozyme from 14 species